rnacentral:rRNA from 1 species
GACGAACGUUGGCGGCGUGCUUAAUACAUGCAAGUCAACUGAAGCAGUGGUAGCAAUAUCGCUGUGGAGGUGGCGCACGGGUGAGUAACACGUAGGUAAUCUGCCUUCAGGUCUGGCAUAACUCCGGGAAACCGGGGCUAAUAGCAGAUGAUGCAGCGGCUCGACAUCGAGACAGUUGUUAAAGCUAUGGCGCCUGAAGAUGAGCCUGCGUUUGAUUAGCUAGUUGGCGGGGUAACGGCCCACCAAGGCAACGAUCAGUAGCUGGUCUGAGAGGAUGAUCAGCCACACUGGAACUGAGACACGGUCCAGACUCCUACGGGAGGCAGCAGUAAGGAAUAUUGCUCAAUGGGAGAAAUCCUGAAGCAGCAACGCCGCGUGAGGGACGAAGGGCUUUUGCUUGUAAACCUCUGUAGUGAGAGAAAAAAAUCCCAAUCUUUGGGACAUGAUGGUAUCUCAAAAGUAAGCCCCGGCUAACUACGUG